UACAGAGGUCCCAAGCGUUGUUCGGAUUCACUGGGCGUAAAGGGUGCGUAGGCGGUCGGGUAAGUCUGAUGUGAAAUCUCACAGCUUAACUGUGAAACUGCAUUGGAUACUAUCCGGCUCGAGGAAUGGAGGGGAGACUGGAAUACUUGGUGUAGCAGUGAAAUGCGUAGAUAUCAAGUGGAACACCAGUGGCGAAGGCGAGUCUCUGGACAUUUCCUGACGGCUGAGGCACGAAAGCCAGGGGAGCAAACGGGG
rnacentral:rRNA from 1 species